rnacentral:rRNA from 1 species
UACGUAGGGGGCGAGCGUUAAUCGGAAUUACUGGGCGUAAAGCGUGCGCAGGCGGUUGUGUAAGACAGGUGUGAAAUCCCCGGGCUUAACCUGGGAACUGCGCUUGUGACUGCACGACUCGAGUGUGGCAGAGGGGGGUGGAAUUCCACGUGUAGCAGUGAAAUGCGUAGAUAUGUGGAGGAACACCGAUGGCGAAGGCAGCCCCCUGGGUUAACACUGACGCUCAUGCACGAAAGAGUGGGUAGCAAACAGG